UACAUGUGGGGCAAGCGUUGUUCGGAAUUACUGGGCAUAAAGGGUGCGUAGGCGGCUUAUUAAGUCGAUGGUGAAAGUUUUCGGCCUAACCGGAAAAUAGCCUUCGAUACUGGUGAGCUUGAGUGUGUAAGGGGUAGGGGGAACGAGCAGUGUAGCGGUGAAAUGCGUAGAUAUUGCUCGGAAGGCCAGAGCCGAAGGGGCCCUACUGGUACACAACUGACGCUGAGGCACGAAAGCGUGGGGAGCAAACAGG
rnacentral:rRNA from 1 species